rnacentral:rRNA from 1 species
AUUGAACGCUGGCGGCAGGCCUAACACAUGCAAGUCGAACGGUAACAGGAAGAAGCUUGCUUCUUUGCUGUCGAGUGGCGGACGGGUGAGUAAUGUCUGGGAAACUGCCUGAUGGAGGGGGAUAACUACUGGAAACGGUAGCUAAUACCGCAUAACGUCGCAAGACCAAAGAGGGGGACCUUCGGCCUUUUUUCCUUUGACUUGGCCAGGUGGGAUUAGCUAGUUGGUUGGGUAACGGCUCACCUAGGCCACGAUUCCUAGCUGGUCUGAGAGGAUGACCAGCCACACUGGAACUGAGACACGGUCCAGACUCCUACGGGAGGCAGCAGUGGGGAAUAUUGCACAAUGGGCGCAAGCCUGAUGCAGCCAUGCCGCGUGAAUGAAGAAGGCCUUCGGGUUGUAAAGUACUUUCAGCAGGGAGGAAGGGAGUAAAGUUAAAACCUUUACUCAUUGACGUUACCCGCAGAAGAAGCAACGGCUAACUCCGUG